CAGCAAAUGAGCACAUGGAUGAGAGUAACCCCAGGAUGAGAUCUCAGUGGUCACAGGAAGUAUCUCUACAGUCUUCAUUGUCUUGGCUGCAAGGACUCUGUUUAACACUUGCUGGUGACUUCCUCAUAGCUGCUGGAGCCCAAUGUUUAAGGUCUUCUCGAGGAGAUCACUUCCUGCCUAAUUCAGCUGAACUCCCAGCCAACUGGAACUCGACUUUGAGUUCUCAGCAGCUCAGCUGUUCAAAGACAGAUGGCUUAGGACUCAAAGAGGAAGGACACCCACAGCGGUCAAGGCCAGGAGACAUCCAAAGGAAAGGACAACAUGGAAGUAAGUGCCAAGACUGUUCUUUAUGCAAAGAAGAUACGCCAUAA
rnacentral:lncRNA from 1 species